UACGUAGGGUGCAAGCGUUGCCCGGAUUCACUGGGCGUAAAGGGUGCGUAGGCGGAUUGGUAAGUCGAUUGUGAAAUCUCUAGGCUCAACCUGGAAACUGCGGUCGAUACUGCCGAUCUAGAGGACAGAAGAGGAGAGCGGAACUCCUGGUGUAGCGGUAAAAUGCGUGGAUAUCAGGAGGAACGCCUAUGGCGAAAGCAGCUCUCUGGUAUGUUCCUGACGCUGAAGCACGAAAGCUAAGGUAGCAAACCGGAUUAGAUACCCGGGUAGUCUUAGCCGUAAACAAUGUACACUAGGUAUUGGCAAUGGUCAGUGCCGCAGCUAACGCGAUAAGUGUACCGCCUGGGGACUACGGCCGCAAGGCUAAA
rnacentral:rRNA from 1 species